rnacentral:rRNA from 1 species
AUGAAAGAAACAGAUUUGUCCAGAAAAAACCUCUUCUCUUUAUCGUUCCUAACCUUGCUUUGCCCCCAAUCUCCCAAAUCAACAACAUGGUAUCGGAGCAUGACGAGGAUCUAUGCAGGAGUUGCGCGGAUUGAUAGGCGGGGGCUGCUGGAAGGCUGUGGUGGAGGUGUUGGGGCCGGUUUUGCUGCGGUGGAGAGCCAAAUCAGGGCUGGCGGUGGCUGUGGUGGAGCAGGGUGCCCAGCAGCGACCUGGAGUGGUGUAGGUGGUGGCCCUGGGUGGAGACAGAUUGGGGACAGAUUCAAAUCAAAGUUCAAGGCAAUGGACGAAAAGUAUAGUGCUCUAUUGGAAGCAAUCAGCAAACAAGCCACCAGCUCAAAAUCAUAUGUUGAGAUGAAGGAAGAAAUACACCCUCUGCAGAUGCCACGUGUAAAGUUAGAGGAUCCAGAGAGCUAUGUCAGUUGGGCUGAGCAUGCUGAAACCAUCUCAGUUUCGAGGAAAUUGGAAGGGUGCAUUCUUGGGACAGUAGAGAAACCUGAGGAAGAAGGUUCAAAAGAAGGCCAAAAAUGGAGGAUGACCAAUGCACUGGUUAGGGCGUGGCUGUUGAGCUCAGUCUCAUCUCAAAUUGCAAGACAAGUGGAGAGGAUUAAGGAUGCCUCGGAAAUUUGGAGGCUCCUAAAGGGAACAUAUUUAGGAGUGGGAAAUGAGAUGUUAGCAUGUAUGAUUCAGAAGGAACUGCAGGAGCUGAGCCAAGGAGAAAGGACUAUUGUGGAGUAUGUAUCGGAACUAAAAAGAUUGUGGAGUGACCUUGACUACUAUGAUCCUGUUGAGAUGGAAUGUGAAUGUGCGAUAGGGGGAGAGAGGGAGGAGAAAGACAAUAAUGGAGCAUAUCAGGAGAUGAAGAACAACAUCCUCAAGUGUACACAUGAAGGCAUCAGACCGAGGAGAAGCAUGCUCGAGAGGAAGAAAUCAUCCCUUCGGGACAUGAUCAUGAAGCCCAAGGACAGGUCGACCCACAUGACUCAGCUUCACACCCUUCAGCUUCACAUGAUGAUCAUUUAUAGCUGCUUAGACUCCACAGUUCCUAUAGCUCGUGAUUGGCAAGAGGUGAAGAAAGAUCCAAGGUGGAGAGUUGCAAUGUUGGAAGAAAUGCGAGCACUUGAUAAAAACAACACUUGGGUUCUUACCACAAUUCCAGCGGGAAAGAAAAUUGUGGGCUGCAAGUGCGUGUUCACUGUGAAGCAGACACCUGAGGGGAAGGUAGAGAGAUACAAGGCCAGGUGUAAUUUACCGAGCUGCGAAGGAGUUUCGGCUGGAAAUGAAACGGCCGACGGAGGGGAUCAAGGGGGGCGCAGGUCCUGGUCCGGUGGGUCCGAUCGACCGAGGAGGCAUUGCGUGGGGCGUGGCGUCACGACGACGACACCAGAGCGUAACGGGAGCCUCCUCCCGUCUCCUCUCUUCCUUCGCCACGAAGGAUCCGCCCGUCGCCCAAGAAUACUCCAAAUGGAGAGAGCUACCGCGCGCCAUGAUUGCCGCUCCGCUCGCUUGCUGGCUGGCCGAUUGAGUGUACGUGCGUACCAGCAGCCGAACACGCACGCAUGCACACAUAAGCAUUGGUGGACCAUCACCGACAGAGCCGGCCAUGGCGUAAUUCGUCUGAUCGAUCGAUCGGCCGACGUGGUCCUCCUGGAUCGCACGUCGUAG